ACAAGAAGGUAUCAUCCACUUAGGUUCAAUAGACCUAAGCCAAAAAAAGAACAAAAUGAAACGAACAGAAAACAAAAAAGUAAACUAGACUAUGCAUCUUUCAAUCUCUAGAGAUGAAGAUACCGUAACCCUAAAUCGCAGAUCGAUUCGAGCUCCUCGACUGGCCUGAGGCAGCUUUCACAGCUCCGGCUGAUCGUCAUCGAGUCGAUGUGGUGUUGUAACGUUGCCGGGCUUGAGAGAAAUCCUCAGAAGUAUUCAAAACUCUCACGAACUCCAUGGACUCAACAUCAAUGAAGACUUCUUCAGCUCCACCAACUUCUUCGACCAUUGCUCCUUGAGAUAAGACCAAUCUUACAAAUUGUACACUUAGAUCGACUUUUUACUAAAGUUUAUAUAGAACAUUGUCCUAAUUUGUGCAGGCUGAGCUUCAAGUAGCAGAUACCACUGCCUCAAACCAAGGAAGAUCCUUACAAACUUCAUACAAGUUUCUAGUGUGAGCAAGCUUUUAUGUUGUUGAACAAAAACCUGGCAGGCUUCAGGAUGGGAAGAGAACUUUGGUGUGAGACAUAACCUAUGAAAAUCACUCUAUUCUAGCUCUGCUUGUACUAGUAUUAGUUCUUGGCAGGACUAUUGUGCCUUCGACGGGUACAGUCAACUGAGAAGGGCAAUAAACAUUUCUCUUUUUCUGAACAAGUACCUUAUUAGGUUCAUACAUAAGCAAAGACGGGCACCCUAUGUUACUAAUGGUUAUUUUCUCAUUUGUAUAUUUAAGCAUGUACAUCUGGAUAUUUGACAUUGCUUUAAUUACAGAUCCAUUACUCA